rnacentral:rRNA from 1 species
GACGGAGGGUGCAAGCGUUAUCCGGAAUGAUUGGGCGUAAAGCGUCCGCAGGUGGCAGUUCAAGUCUGCUGUCAAAGCCCGGGGCUUAACUUCGGAAAGGCAGUGGAAACUGAACAGCUAGAGUAUGGUAGGGGCAGAGGGAAUUCCUGGUGUAGCGGUGAAAUGCGUAGAGAUCAGGAAGAACAUCGGUGGCGAAGGCGCUCUGCUGGACCAUAACUGACACUCAGGGACGAAAGCUAGGGGAGCGAAUGGG